rnacentral:rRNA from 1 species
UACGGAGGGUGCAAGCGUUAUCCGGAUUCACUGGGUUUAAAGGGUGCGUAGGUGGGCAAGUAAGUCAGUGGUGAAAUCUCCGGGCUUAACCCGGAAGCUGCCAUUGAUACUAUUUGUCUUGAAUACUGUGGAGGUCAGCGGAAUAUGUCAUGUAGCGGUGAAAAUGCUUAGAUAUGACAUAGAACACCAAUUGCGAAGGCAGCUGGCUACACAAAUAUUGACACUGAGGCACGAAAAGCGUGGGGAUCAAACAGG